AGAGUUUGAUCAUGGCUCAGAACGUACGCUGGCGGCACGCCUAACACAUGCAAGUCGAACGAAGUAGCAAUACUUAGUGGCAGACGGGUGAGUAACAUGUGGGUAUCUACCCUUUGGCCUGGAAUAACACGAGGAAACUUGUGCUAAUACCGGAUAAGUCUUUACGGAGAAAGCUUUAUGCACCAUUGGAUGAGCCCGCACUUGAUUAGUUUGUUGGUAGGGUAAUGGCCUACCAAGACUAUGAUCAAUAGCUGAUUUGAGAGGAUGAUCAGCCACAUUGGGACUGAGACACGGCCCAAACUCCUACGGGAGGCAGCAGUGGGGAAUCUUGCACAAUGGAGGAAACUCUGAUGCAGCGAUGCCGCGUGAGUGAAGAAGGCCUUUGGGUUGUAAAGCUCUUUCGUCGGGGAAGAAAAUGACUGUACCCGAAUAAGAAGGUCCGGCUAACUUCGUGCCAGCAGCCGCGGUAAUACGAAGGGACCUAGCGUAGUUCGGAAUUACUGGGCUUAAAGAGUUCGUAGGUGGUUGAAAAAGUUGGUGGUGAAAUCCCAGAGCUUAACUCUGGAACUGCCAUCAAAACUUUUCAGCUAGAGUAUGAUAGAGGAAAGCAGAAUUUCUAGUGUAGAGGUGAAAUUCGUAGAUAUUAGAAAGAAUACCAAUUGCGAAGGCAGCUUUCUGGAUCAUUACUGACACUGAGGAACGAAAGCAUGGGUAGCGAAGAGGAUUAGAUACCCUCGUAGUCCAUGCCGUAAACGAUGUGUGUUAGACGUUGGAAAUUUAUUUUCAGUGUCGCAGGGAAACCGAUAAACACACCGCCUGGGGAGUACGACCGCAAGGUUAAAACUCAAAUGAAUUGACGGGGACCCGCACAAGUAGUGGAGCAUGUGGUUUAAUUCGAAGAUACGCGCA
rnacentral:rRNA from 1 species